UACGUAGGGGGCUAGCGUUGUCCGGAAUCAUUGGGCGUAAAGCGCGUGUAGGCGGUUCAGUAAGUCUGCUGUGAAAGUCCAGGGCUCAACCCUGGGAUGCCGGUGGAUACUGCUGGGCUAGAGUACGGAAGAGGCGAGUGGAAUUCCCGGUGUAGCGGUGAAAUGCGCAGAUAUCGGGAGGAACACCAAUUGCGAAGGCAGCUCGCUGGGACGUCACUGACGCUGAGACGCGAAAGCGUGGGGAGCAAAC
rnacentral:rRNA from 1 species